rnacentral:rRNA from 1 species
AUGAACGCUGGCGGCGUGCCUCAUACAUGCAGGUCGAGCGAACGGACGAGAAGCUUGCUUUUCUGAUGUUAGCGGCGGACGGGUGAGUAACACGUGGAUAACCUACCUAUAAGACUGGGAUAACUUCGGGAAACCGGAGCUAAUACCGGAUAAUAUUUUGAACCGCAUGGUUCAAAAGUGAAAGACGGUCUUGCUGUCACUUAUAGAUGGAUCCGCGCUGCAUUAGCUAGUUGGUAAGGUAACGGCUUACCAAGGCAACGAUGCAUAGCCGACCUGAGAGGGUGAUCGGGCACACUAGAACUAAGACACGGUCCAGACUCCUACGGGAGGCAGCAGCAGGGAAUCUUCCGCACUGGGCGAAAGCCUGACGGAGCGACGCCCCGUGAGUGGUGAAGGUCUUCGGAUCGUAGAACUCUGUUAUUAGGGAAAAACAUAUGUGUAAGUAACUGUGCACAUCUUGACGGUACCUAAUCAGGAAGCCACGGCUACCUACGUG